rnacentral:rRNA from 1 species
CGCUUAGGCGUGUGACUGCGUACCUUUUGUAUAAUGGGUCAGCGACUUAUAUUCUGUAGCAAGGUUAACCGAAUAGGGGAGCCGAAGGGAAACCGAGUCUUAACUGGGCGUUAAGUUGCAGGGUAUAGACCCGAAACCCGGUGAUCUAGCCAUGGGCAGGUUGAAGGUUGGGUAACACUAACUGGAGGACCGAACCGACUAAUGUUGAAAAAUUAGCGGAUGACUUGUGGCUGGGGGUGAAAGGCCAAUCAAACCGGGAGAUAGCUGGUUCUCCCCGAAAGCUAUUUAGGUAGCGCCUCGUGAAUUCAUCUCCGGGGGUAGAGCACUGUUUCGGCAAGGGGGUCAUCCCGACUUACCAACCCGAUGCAAACUGCGAAUACCGGAGAAUGUUAUCACGGGAGACACACGGCGGGUGCUAACGUCCGUCGUGAAGAGGGAAACAACCCAGACCGCCAGCUAAGGUCCCAAAGUCAUGGUUAAGUGGGAAACGAUGUGGGAAGGCCCAGACAGCCAGGAUGUUGGCUUAGAAGCAGCCAUCAUUUAAAGAAAGCGUAAUAGCUCACUGGUCGAGUCGGCCUGCGCGGAAGAUGUAACGGGGCUAAACCAUGCACCGAAGCUGCGGCAGCGACGCUUAUGCGUUGUUGGGUAGGGGAGCGUUCUGUAAGCCUGUGAAGGUGUGCUGUGAGGCAUGCUGGAGGUAUCAGAAGUGCGAAUGCUGACAUAAGUAACGAUAAAGCGGGUGAAAAGCCCGCUCGCCGGAAGACCAAGGGUUCCUGUCCAACGUUAAUCGGGGCAGGGUGAGUCGACCCCUAAGGCGAGGCCGAAAGGCGUAGUCGAUGGGAAACAGGUUAAUAUUCCUGUACUUGGUGUUACUGCGAAGGGGGGACGGAGAAGGCUAUGUUGGCCGGGCGACGGUUGUCCCGGUUUAAGCGUGUAGGCUGGUUUUCCAGGCAAAUCCGGAAAAUCAAGGCUGAGGCGUGAUGACGAGGCACUACGGUGCUGAAGCAACAAAUGCCCUGCUUCCAGGAAAAGCCUCUAAGCAUCAGGUAACAUCAAAUCGUACCCCAAACCGACACAGGUGGUCAGGUAGAGAAUACCAAGGCGCUUGAGAGAACUCGGGUGAAGGAACUAGGCAAAAUGGUGCCGUAACUUCGGGAGAAGGCACGCUGAUAUGUAGGUGAAGUCCCUCGCGGAUGGAGCUGAAAUCAGUCGAAGAUACCAGCUGGCUGCAACUGUUUAUUAAAAACACAGCACUGUGCAAACACGAAAGUGGACGUAUACGGUGUGACGCCUGCCCGGUGCCGGAAGGUUAAUUGAUGGGGUCAGCGCAAGCGAAGCUCUUGAUCGAAGCCCCGGUAAACGGCGGCCGUAACUAUAACGGUCCUAAGGUAGCGAAAUUCCUUGUCGGGUAAGUUCCGACCUGCACGAAUGGCGUAAUGAUGGCCAGGCUGUCUCCACCCGAGACUCAGUGAAAUUGAACUCGCUGUGAAGAUGCAGUGUACCCGCGGCAAGACGGAAAGACCCCGUGAACCUUUACUAUAGCUUGACACUGAACAUUGAGCCUUGAUG